rnacentral:rRNA from 1 species
CCUACGGGGGGCAGCAGUGGGGAAUAUUGGACAAUGGGGGCAACCCUGAUCCAGCCAUGCCGCGUGUGUGAAGAAGGCCCUCGGGUUGUAAAGCACUUUCAGUGAGGAAGAACGCCUGGUGGUUAAUACCCAUCAGGAAAGACAUCACUCACAGAAGAAGCACCGGCUAACUCCGUGCCAGCAGCCGUGGUAAUACGGAGGGUGCGAGCGUUAAUCGGAAUUACUGGGCGUAAAGCGCGCGUAGGUGGCUUGAUAAGCCGGUUGUGAAAGCCCCGGGCUCAACCUGGGAACGGCAUCCGGAACUGUCAAGCUAGAGUGCAGGAGAGGAAGGUAGAAUUCCCGGUGUAGCGGUGAAAUGCGUAGAGAUCGGGAGGAAUACCAGUGGCGAAGGCGGCCUUCUGGACUGACACUGACACUGAGGUGCGAAAGCGUGGGUAGCAAACAGGAUUAGAUACCCGUGUAGUC